UACGAAGGGGGCUAGCGUUGCUCGGAAUCACUGGGCGUAAAGCGCACGUAGGCGGAUUGUUAAGUCAGGGGUGAAAUCCUGGAGCUCAACUCCAGAACUGCCUUUGAUACUGGCAAUCUCGAGUUCGGGAGAGGUGAGUGGAACUGCGAGUGUAGAGGUGAAAUUCGUAGAUAUUCGCAAGAACACCAGUGGCGAAGGCGGCUCACUGGCCCGAUACUGACGCUGAGGCGCGAAAGCGUGGGGAGCAAACAGG
rnacentral:rRNA from 1 species